rnacentral:rRNA from 1 species
CGGCGGACGGGUGAGUAACGCGUGGGUAACCUGCCUCAUACAGGGGGAUAACAGUUAGAAAUGACUGCUAAUACCGCAUAAGCACACAGAACCGCAUGGUUCGGGGUGAAAAGCCGAGACGGUAUGAGAUGGACCCGCGUCUGAUUAGCUAGUUGGAGGGGUAACGGCCCACCAAGGCAACGAUCAGUAGCCGGCCUGAGAGGGUGGACGGCCACAUUGGGACUGAGACACGGCCCAAACUCCUACGGAAGGCAGCAG